ensembl:lncRNA
GGGUAGCCUAGUGGUUAGAGUGUAGAGGAGGUAGGGUAGCCUAGUGGUUAGAGUGUAGAGGAGGUAGGGUAGCCUAGUGGUUAGAGUGUAGAGGAGGUAGGGUAGCCUAGUGGUUAGAGUGUAGAGGAGGUAGGGUAGCCUAGUGGUUAGAGUGUAGAGGAGGCAGGGUAGCCUAGUGGUUAGAGUGUAGAGGAGGUAGGGUAGCCUAGUGGUUAGAGUGUGGAGGAGGUAGGGUAGCCUAGUGGUUAGAGUGUUGAGGAGGUAGGGUAGCCUAGUGGUUAGAGUGUAGAGGAGGUAGUGUAGCCUAGUGGUUAUAGUGUAGGGGCGGCAGGGUAGCCUAGUGGUUAGAGUGUAGAGGAGGUAGGGUAGCCUAGUGGUUAGAGUGUAGAGGAGGUAGGGUAGCCUAGUGGUUAGAGUGUAGAGGAGGUAGGGUAGCCUAGUGGUUAGAGUGUAGAGGAGGUAGGGUAGCC